CAGCAGCCACGGGAAUACGUAGGGUGCGAGCGUUAAUCGGAAUUACUGGGCGUAAAGCGUGCGCAGGCGGCAUUGCAAGACAGAUGUGAAAUCCCCGGGCUCAACCUGGGAACUGCAUUUGUGACUGCAAGGCUAGAGUGCGGCAGAGGGAGAUGGAAUUCCGCGUGUAGCAGUGAAAUGCGUAGAUAUGCGGAGGAAUACCGAUGGCGAAGGCAGCCCCCUGGGAUAACACUGACGCUCAUGCACGAAAGCGUGGGGAGCAAACAGGAUUAGAUACCCCCGUAGUCCCUGUCUCUUAUAA
rnacentral:rRNA from 1 species